AUUGAACGCUGGCGGCAUGCUUUACACAUGCAAGUCGAACGGCAGCACGGGCUUCGGCCUGGUGGCGAGUGGCGAACGGGUGAGUAAUGCAUCGGAACGUGCCCAUGUUGUGGGGGAUAACUACGCGAAAGCGUGGCUAAUACCGCAUACGCCCUGAGGGGGAAACGGGGGAUUCUUCGGAACCUCGCGCAAUUGGAGCGGCCGAUGUCAGAUUAGCUUGUUGGUGAGGUAAAGGCUCACCAAGGCGACGAUCUGUAGCGGGUCUGAGAGGAUGAUCCGCCACACUGGGACUGAGACACGGCCCAGACUCCUACGGGAGGCAGCAGUGGGGAAUUUUGGACAAUGGGGGCAACCCUGAUCCAGCCAUGCCGCGUGAGUGAAGAAGGCCUUCGGGUUGUAAAGCUCUUUCAGCCGGGAAGAAAACGCACGCUCUAACAUAGCGUGUGGAUGACGGUACCGGACCAAGAAGCACCGGCUAACUACGUG
rnacentral:rRNA from 1 species